rnacentral:misc_RNA from 1 species
GUGCGUUUUGCCCUUCGUCUCGCUGAUCUUCUACUCAUCUCUACCGCCAUGACUGCUCAGACCCAGGAAGAGCUUCUCGCCGCUCAGCUUGAGGAGCAAAAGAUUAAUUCUGAUGAACCUGUAAUAGAGGAGGAUGAUGACGAUGAGGAUGACGAUGAAGAUGAUGACAAGGAUGAGGACGAUGCUGAAGGACAUGGAGAGGCCAGUGGCAGGUCUAAGCAAAGCAGAAGUGAGAAAAAGAGCCGUAAAGCAAUGCUGAAACUUGGAAUGAAGCCAAUCCCGGGUGUGAGCCGUGUCACAGUCAAGAAGAGCAAAAAUAUUCUUUUUGUCAUUUCGAAACCAGAUGUCUUCAAGAGUCCAACUUCUGAUACCUACAUUGUUUUUGGGGAAGCAAAGAUUGAAGAUUUGAGCUCCCAGCUACAGACCCAGGCUGCAGAGCAGUUCAAGGCUCCUAAUUUGAGUAAUUUGACAUCAAAACCUGAGCCAUCAACUGUAGCUCAAGAUGACGAAGUUGUCGAUGAGACUGGGGUCGAACCAAAGGACAUCGAACUGGUGAUGACUCAAGCUGGGGUAUCUAGACCAAGAGCUGUGAAAGCACUUAAAGCAGCAGAUGGCGAUAUCGUGUCUGCCAUUAUGGAACUUACAAAUUAAUAAGAGCUGAGCUAUCUUUACGUGGAGUGUUGGAAUCUUCUUUUCCUUCUUUUCCCAUUUGUUUCACCUGCUGAAUUUGAAGUUGAGAGAUUUGAAUGCUUUGUAAAACUUAGUUUUUAUAUCACCCUGUGUUGAUUAUUAGCUACUAUUUACUGUGUUUCUUUCACGGGGUUUCUCCACUUUGGAGAAUUGGAACAUUUUACUUUAACA